rnacentral:rRNA from 1 species
UACGAAGGGGGGCUAGCGUUGCUCGGAAUCACUGGGCGUAAAGGGUGCGUAGGCGGGUCUUUUAAGUCAGGGGUGAAAUCCUGGAGCUCAACUCCAGAACUGCCUUUUGAUACUGAAGAUCUUUGAGUGCGGGAGAGGUGAGUGGAACUGCGAGUGUAGAGGUGAAAUUCGUAGAUAUUCGCAAGAACACCAGUGGCGAAGGCGGCUCACUGGCCCGAUACUGACGCUGAGGCACGAAAGCGUGGGGAGCAACAGGG